UACGUAGGGUGCGAGCGUUAAUCGGAAUUACUGGGCGUAAAGCGUGCGCAGGCGGUCUGUUAAGACAGAUGUGAAAUCCCUGGGCUUAACCUGGGAACUGCAUUUGUGACUGGCAGGCUAGAGUAUGGCGGAGGGGGGUAGAAUUCCACGUGUAGCAGUGAAAUGCGUAGAGAUGUGGAGGAAUACCGAUGGCGAAGGCAGCCCCCUGGGCCAAUACUGACGCUCAUGCACGAAAGCGUGGGGAGCAAACAGG
rnacentral:rRNA from 1 species